GCCAGGCAUGGUGGUGCAUGCCUGUAGUCCCAGCUACUUAGGAGGCUGAGGUGGGAGGAUCGCUUGAGCCCAGGAGGUCAAGGCUGUAGUAAGCCAUGAUCACACCACUGCACUGCAGCCUGGGCUACACAGUGAGACCCUGUCUCAA
rnacentral:SRP_RNA from 1 species